UACAGAGGUCUCGAGCGUUAGGCGGAAUCACUGGGCUUAAAGCGUGUGUAGGCGGAUUGCUAAGUACCUUGUGAAAAUCCCCACGGCUUAACCGUGGAACUGCUUGGUAUACUGGCUGUCUUGAGCCACUUAGGGGCAACCGGAACAAACGGUGGAGCGGUGAAAUGCGUAGAUAUCGUUUGGAACGCCAAUGGUGAAAACAGGUUGCUGGGAGUGUGCUGACGCUGAGACACGAAAGCCAGGGGGAGCAAAACGGGG
rnacentral:rRNA from 1 species